UGAUUUAUCCAUCCAAUGAAAGCUGAAACCUUCACGUAAACACCAGGUACAUCUAUACGGCCACAUCCGAAACCCCACGAUACUAAUCCGGCUAGUUCGUAAAAACCGUCAUCUUGACAGACCAGUGGGCCUCCGCCAUCCCCCUGCAAACAUAUUGAAGAAUAACGCUACUCACUUGACACGCAUCAUUGCCUUGUUCACCUCCUGCACAGAAACUACUGGCUGGCAGAAUGAAUAUCUUCUCAGUUACCGCAUUCACCUUUCUGAUGCAUUCAGCGUCGCUGACUAUCGGUAUUUCUGCUUCUCGUACUCUCAGUGGUAUAGGGCCUGCUGCAAUCCAAUCGAUAUGAGUAUUAGCUUGGAAGGAUCACAAGCAGUGUGACUGACUCCUCUAGCUGGUAAACAUACCAAACAUACACCUUCCCUCAAUUCAGCCUGCCCAUGUAGUUUUAGAAGUGCUAUGUCAUUGUCAAGAGUCUGACUAUUAUGAUUGUGAUGGAUAUAUGUGGUCGCAACUCGUAAAGUUUGAGCGCCAGGACUGCCAUACUUGCGGACAAAAUCGGAAAUAUUCUUCACUUACUGAAACAUGUGAAUGACAAGUAUGAAACAAUACAGGAGCCUGGACAUUCUGGACGUGGAUCUGGUGGCAAAGGAGCCAUAGUCGUAGUUGGUCUCGGCGGUGUUGGCCGAGGCUUAUUACGCUGUAAAGUCGAGAGAAAUAGGACAUCAGUAAACCCAAAUGAGGUCGGUGUAAUUUUUAUUACGACGUACUGACCUGGGGUGGGUUUCUUGUAUUAUCGCAACAGAUCGAGCCUGAUGCGCAAGUAGAUGUCUUAGCGACAAGAACGUUUGGACGCUCACAGAAGGCUGCCAUGAUGUUGAGCAAACAAAAUCCUGGACAUCGAGGCAGCUUGGAUGGUGGAGCUCUAGUGGAAGGACGUGGAGUUGUAGUAGUAGUACUUUCCGGCUAUUGAAAUGAACCACAUCGUUUAACAUUUA